rnacentral:rRNA from 1 species
GACGAACGCUGGCGGCGUGCUUAACACAUGCAAGUCGAACGGAAAGGCCCUGCUUUUGUGGGGUGCUCGAGUGGCGAACGGGUGAGUAACACGUGAGUAACCUGCCCUUGACUUUGGGAUAACUUCAGGAAACUGGGGCUAAUACCGGAUAGGAGCUCCUGCUGCAUGGUGGGGGUUGGAAAGUUUCGGCGGUUGGGGAUGGACUCGCGGCUUAUCAGCUUGUUGGUGGGGUAGUGGCUUACCAAGGCUUUGACGGGUAGCCGGCCUGAGAGGGUGACCGGCCACAUUGGGACUGAGAUACGGACCAGACUCGUACGGGAGGCAGCAGUGGGGAAUAUUGCACAAUGGGCGGAAGCCUGAUGCAGAAACGCCGCGUGCGGGAUGACGGCCUUCGGGUUGUAAACCGCUUUCGCCUGUGACGAAGCGUGAGUGACGGUAAUGGGUAAAGAAGCACCGGCUAACUACGUG